AUUGAACGCUGGCGGCAUGCCUUACACAUGCAAGUCGAACGGCAGCGCGGGGCAACCUGGCGGCGAGUGGCGAACGGGUGAGUAAUAUAUCGGAACAUACCCUAGAGUGGGGAUAACGUAGCGAAAGUUACGCUAAUACCGCAUACGCACUAAGGUGGAAAGUGGGGGAUCUUCGGACCUCAUGCUCAUGGAGUGGCCGAUAUCUGAUUAGCUAGUUGGUGAGGUAAAGGCUCACCAAGGCGACGAUCAGUAGCUGGUUUGAGAGAACGACCAGCCACACUGGAACUGAGGCACGGUCCAGACUCCUACGGAGGCAGCAGUGGGGAAUUUUGGACAAUGGGGGCAACCCUGAUCCAGCAAUGCCGCGUGAGUGAAGAA
rnacentral:rRNA from 1 species